AGCGAACGCUGGCGGCAGGCCUAACACAUGCAAGUCGAGCGCCCCGCAAGGGGAGCGGCAGACGGGUGAGUAACACGUGGGAACGUGCCCUUCAGUUCGGAACAACCCAGGGAAACUUGGGCUAAUACCGGAUACGUCCGUAAGGAGAAAGAUUUAUCGCUGAAGGAUCGGCCCGCGUCUGAUUAGCUUGUUGGUGAGGUAACGGCUCACCAAGGCUACGAUCAGUAGCUGGUCUGAGAGGAUGAUCAGCCACACUGGGACUGAGACACGGCCCAGACUCCUACGGGAGGCAGCAGUGGGGAAUAUUGGACAAUGGGCGCAAGCCUGAUCCAGCCAUGCCGCGUGAGUGAUGAAGGCCCUAGGGUUGUAAAGCUCUUUCGGCGGGGAAGAUAAUGACGGUACCCGCAGAAGAAGCCCCGGCCAACUUCGUGC
rnacentral:rRNA from 1 species